rnacentral:tRNA from 1 species
ACCUGGCCGGCUCAGUCCGUAGAGCAUGAAGCUUUUGAUCUCAGAGUUGUGAGUUUGAGCCCCACGUUGGGUG